CGUGCCUACAUGAUGAGAAGAAGUGAGGGGAGUGGCGCAGGCAUUGUGACACAGAGGUAGGCUGCUGUUGACCUUCUGAUCCCAUGCCUGAGGGAGGAUCACCUGCUUCUGGGCCAUGGUUGACUGCGGGUAACUGAAACCGCAGAAAGCGAAACCGCGGGGACAGAAAAGAACAGGAGAGCUAUGUACUGGCUCUCUAAUGCUUCAGCUCAGAAAUGACAGACAACAUCUCCAUUCACAGCCUACUGGCCAGGACUACUCUUGUAUUCCCAUCUGAUGGUGAGGGGGCCGGGGAGUGGUGGGAAGCACAUGGGCCCGUGCCCAAUCAUGAGAAAAGCACCAGACAAGUCCUAACUGAGGACAUUCUACAGAAACACCUGACCAGUACUCCUCAAAACUGUCAAGGUCAUCCAAAACAAGGAAACGAGGAACUGUCACAGCUAGGAGGAGCUUAAGGAGACGUGACAACUAGAUGUAACUCAGUAUCCUAGAUGGGAUCCUGGAAAAGGAAAAGGAUAUUAGU